CGAACUUUUAUAUCUGGGCGUCACUGGUAAUUCUUGUUUGGACGAGGCGCGUUUUUGACGUAAUGAAUUUUAAACCUGAUGCCUUUUGUUAUCUGUUGUUCGUGUGUUUCUAAUUACGUUCUCCUAUUUGUUUGUAUUGUGGUCCUGUAUUAUUAUGUUGUCAUUUUGAUGUUAUAUUUAACAAUGCCAUCAAAGUGCGAGGUUUGGCAUGCCACAAAACCAGGUUCAACCCACCAUUUUUUUCUUUAAAAAUGUCCUGUACCAAGUCAGGAAAAUGGCCAUUGUUAUAU
rnacentral:lncRNA from 1 species